rnacentral:rRNA from 1 species
AGUGAACGCUGGCGGUAGGCCUAACACAUGCAAGUCGAACGGCAGCACAGUAAGAGCUUGCUCUUACGGGUGGCGAGUGGCGGACGGGUGAGGAAUACAUCGGAAUCUACUUUUUCGUGGGGGAUAACGUAGGGAAACUUACGCUAAUACCGCAUACGACCUACGGGUGAAAGCAGGGGAUCUUCGGACCUUGCGCGAUUGAAUGAGCCGAUGUCGGAUUAGCUAGUUGGCGGGGUAAAGGCCCACCAAGGCGACGAUCCGUAGCUGGUCUGAGAGGAUGAUCGGCCACACUGGAACUGAGACACGGUCCAGACUCCUACGGGAGGCAGCAGUGGGGAAUAUUGGACAAUGGGCGCAAGCCUGAUCCAGCCAUACCGCGUGGGUGAAGAAGGCCUUCGGGUUGUAAAGCCCUUUUGUUGGGAAAGAAAAGCGGCAGGUUAAUACCCCGCUGUUCUGACGGUACCCAAAGAAUAAGCACCGGCUAACUUCGUG